GCAGUCGAACGAGUUCUCGUUGAUGAUCGGUGCUUGCACCGAGAUUCAACAUGGAACGAGUGGCGGACGGGUGAGUAACACGUGGGUAACCUGCCCUUAAGUGGGGGAUAACAUUUGGAAACAGAUGCUAAUACCGCAUAGAUCCAAGAACCGCAUGGUUCUUGGCUGAAAGAUGGCGUAAGCUAUCGCUUUUGGAUGGACCCGCGGCGUAUUAGCUAGUUGGUGAGGUAAUGGCUCACCAAGGCGAUGAUACGUAGCCGAACUGAGAGGUUGAUCGGCCACAUUGGGACUGAGACACGGCCCAAACUCCUACGGGAGGCAGCAGUAGGGAAUCUUCCACAAUGGACGCAAGUCUGAUGGAGCAACGCCGCGUGAGUGAAGAAGGCUUUCGGGUCGUAAAACUCUGUUGUUGGAGAAGAAUGGUCGGCAGAGUAACUGUUGUCGGCGUGACGGUAUCCAACCAGAAAGCCACGGCUAACUACGUGCCAGCAGCCGCGGUAAUACGUAGGUGGCAAGCGUUAUCCGGAUUUAUUGGGCGUAAAGCGAGCGCAGGCGGUUUUUUAAGUCUGAUGUGAAAGCCCUCGGCUUAACCGAGGAAGCGCAUCGGAAACUGGGAAACUUGAGUGCAGAAGAGGACAGUGGAACUCCAUGUGUAGCG
rnacentral:rRNA from 2 species